ensembl:rRNA 5S_rRNA 5S ribosomal RNA
GGCUGUAUCCAUACCACCCUGAAUGCACCCGAUCUCAUCUAGUCUUGGAAGCUAAGGAGGGUUUGGCCUGGGUUAGGACCUGAGUGGGAGAAACGGAAGAGAUGGAAAAGUCC